rnacentral:rRNA from 1 species
CAGUAGCCGCGGUAAUACAGAGGGUGCGAGCGUUAAUCGGAUUUACUGGGCGUAAAGCGUGCGUAGGCGGCUUUUUAAGUCGGAUGUGAAAUCCCUUAGCUUAACUUAGGAAUUGCAUUCGAUACUGGGAAGCUAGAGUAUGGGAGAGGAUGGUAGAAUUCCAGGUGUAGCGGUGAAAUGCGUAGAGAUCUGGAGGAAUACCGAUGGCGAAGGCAGCCAUCUGGCCUAAUACUGACGCUGAGGUACGAAAGCAUGGGGAGCAAACAGGAUUAGAUACCCCCGUAGUCCCUGUCUCUUAUAC